rnacentral:rRNA from 1 species
AGCAGCAGCCACGGUAAUACAGAGGGUGCGAGCGUUAAUCGGAUUUACUGGGCGUAAAGCGUGCGUAGGCGGCUUUUUAAGUCGGAUGUGAAAUCCCUGAGCUUAACUUAGGAAUUGCAUUCGAUACUGGGAAGCUAGAGUAUGGGAGAGGAUGGUAGAAUUCCAGGUGUAGCGGUGAAAUGCGUAGAGAUCUGGAGGAAUACCGAUGGCGAAGGCAGCCAUCUGGCCUAAUACUGACGCUGAAGUACGAAAGCAUGGGGAGCAAACAGGAUUAGAUACCCCUGUAGUCCCUGUCUCUUAUAA